GUAUAAACUAGAGAAUAAAGCUAAAACAAAGUAAUUUUGAGAGAAACGCCAAAAAGAUUUUAGGUUUUGAACACUUUUCAUUGCGAAUACGUGACAUUGAAAAAAGUUGCCUCUUAAUAGUUGACGAAGAAAAGACAAAGCAAAUCGCUACCGUUUUAUAUGUGAUAAAAAGCAUGCUAAUUUAUAUAAAUUUAGCUUUGAUUUUCUAAACAACGUUGAUUUUUUCAAGUACUUCGCCAAUGAGCCAUUUUAAUAAACUGACUCACAGUCCGUGCUUUGUCAGAGAUAAGAGACUCGGCUAUCGCCUCGUGUUGCUUAAUAUACGUGCUUUUUGCUGCGAUUUUAGGUGCGAUUUUCGGCUUCUAAUGGAUGUGAACAAGUGGAUGGGUUAUGAUUAUGAAUGUUCAGAUGGAGAUACCACAGAUAUAUUCAGAACAUUUAUAACUCGUCUAAUCGUUCACAUGCACCAGAAGACGAAAAUCUCAUCAGAAAUCGAAGCAAAAAUUGCAAGUGUUAACGGGCCUUUAAAUAGUACUACUGCCUGGUCUACAUAUGGUCGUAACGGUUGUAAAGAUUGAGCCACGAUCUUUCUCAUCAGCCGAAAUACAGCAGUUUCGAACUGAAAAUACGCGGAGGGAUUCUGAUAACUAGAGAAUAUACUUAUGAUUCACAUGUGG